AGAGGGGUGGCAUAAGUAUAGGCAAACAUAGCCUUCUACUCAUCUAUAACAGCUAAUGAAAUUGUCACUGCAUCUUUAACAUUUGAAAAGAAAAAUCUCACUGAAAUUUCUCAGUAGAAAAUUUUGGGUUCCAUGUCAACAAAGUAGUACUGAUACAAGUUGUGACGAGGCUCCCAGGCUUCUCCUAAAUUUCCCUAUACAUUCUGGUAAACUAAAAUGCUAUGACGAAUACAUGACAACCUAGAGUCCAGUUAUGUUGCAAAUUUCUAAGUACUGAUGUCAUCGUUUGUUUUCUCGGCUGGAUCAAAAUACCAAGGUGGGUGGCUUCACAAGACAAACCUACUUUGCAUAGAUCUGGAGGCAGAAGUUCAAGAUGGGGUGUCAGCCAUGUCAGACAGGACAAAGGCUCUUUACAGCCUUACUUUCCCUCAUGUGACCACUUCUCUGUUAGUAAACAGAGUGCGCUCUCUACUGUCUCCCCUAACAGUACUGAUCCCAUAAUGAGGGUCAUGCCCUGACCACCCUACCUAUCUCCAAAAAGGUCCUGCACACUGCAGAUGGAGCCACAACAUAGAAAGUAGAAGACAAAGUAAUAGCAAGGAUGAACAAGAGAAGCCAGUGACAGAGACGGUGAGGCAUUGUAUAAGCUAAGGUAGAUAUGUUUUGGUGAUUCAUUAAGUAGUACACUAGAAUUUGCACAUUUAAAAGACAUUAUUAUUUGUGUUGUUGUUUUAUGUAUAUGAGUGUGUGGUGGUUUGAAUAUGCUUGGUUCAGGGAAUGGCACUAUUAGGAGGUGUGGCCUUGUUGGAAGAAGUGUGUCCCAUAGUGACCAUGUGGGAGCCAGUCUUCUAGCAGCCUUCAGAUGAAGCUGUAGAACUCUCAGCUUCUCCCACACCAUGCCUGCCUGCUGCCAUGUUCCUGCCUUGAUAAUAAUGGACUGAACCUCUGAACCUGUAAACCUGUCCCAAUUAAAUAGUGACCUUAUGGGAGAUGCCUUGUUCUUGUUGACUGUUCACAUCAGUAAAACCUAAUGAAGGCAGGGUGUUUUGCCUGCACGCAUAUCUGUGAAUGUAUGGUGCCUGCAUAUGUCAAAAGACUGUAGCAGAUCCCCUGGAACAUGAUUUAAAGUUGAUUGUUAGCAGCCAUAUGCAUGCUAGAAAUGGGAUCUAGAUCCUCUGGAAAAGCAGCCAAUGCACUUAACUACUGAGCAAUCUCUCCAUUCUGGAUGUAUACCUUUUUAUGUAUCAUACAGUGUUAUGGAAAUGCACAGAAAGUUGUUUUGAAUUACAUAAAAGUCAUACACACAUACACUGCUCUUGUAAUAAAGGUGUAUAAGGCAGCCUCACCCCUCAAACAAGUCAAAGUCUAAAGAAAAGUCUGAGCAGUAAACAGAUUGUGCAAUGCAAUGUGAUUAAGUGAUAGUAUACAUGAGCAGAGUCCUCUAUGAACAUAGACAAGGAAGUAAUUCACUGUGUCUGAAGAAAUAAGGAUUGACUUAUGACAAGCAGAUUAUGAACUAUGUUAAAAAGAAUGAAAAGGUAUGUCCUCCUUAAAGAUGGACUAGGUCCAGAAGGCACAUACAAUUUACAAAAUUAUUUUUUAAAAAUAGCUCUAUGUUUCUUUGUUUUGACCAAAAAGAAAAAACAAAAAUAGAAAAAGAAAAAGAAAAAAAGGAGAUCUGGGAUCCCACUAAGUAAGAAAGUUCUUGCCAUAUUACCCAGAACUUUUGCUUCUAUGGUUACAGACUUUUGUUUCUAUGGUUACAGACUUUUGUUCCUAUGGUUAAGGAACACAUAGAUAUAUGUCCAGACUCCAAUACUUGGUGCCUUUGUUACUGUUGUGUUUGUACUUUGUUUUUAACCCAUAUGACAGCUAAAGAUAAAGAAAAAGAAGACGUGAAAUAAACUGCCAUGUGACUCCAAGUUAUCUGUGGAAGAAUAAAGUACCAUCGGAAAUGGGUAGGCUGAAGCAUCUCAUUCUGUGUGCUGUGUUUGGAAACUUCCCAGCUUAGUCAACCAGAGUAAAUGGCAUUUUGUGCUAAGAAAGAUGAUAAUUCAAAUUAAACUUACAAAUGGCAUGGCAGAUGCAAGAAAUGUAUUUGGAUUGGUACACUCUCACUGCUGCUCACAGAACUGUGUACAUCCCUGUUCAUAUGAAGGUGUUGUCUUUACAAACUGGCUACAGAAGGAACCACACUGACCUAAUCAGGUAUGCAUUUUCCUCAUUAUUCCUCAUUCAGGGCCAACCCUGGGGUAGUUAGAUAGUCAAACACAAAGGACAAAUCGCAGGCAACUUUCCACAAUGCAGAAAUCAUUAUAAGUUAUUGCUGUAUAUAAUCUAUAGAAUAUGCAAAGUUUCGAUUCCCCUAAAGAGUUUUCAAAGUUUAGUUUAAUAUCCAUGUCACUCUGGCAUUUUGUUUUCUUGUUGGUUAAUGAAGCGCAGGGACUAACAGAAUUCAUAUGACUCCCAUCUGUCAUCGCCACAGCAGUGAUGAAGCCCAAAAUGAAAUUCUACCCUUCAUUCAAUUCCUGUAGUUUCAUAUUAGUUAGGUGAUCAAGCAAAACCAGGGGGACUCUUCUGGUUUCAGAUGGGGAAACUAGGGUCAAGUGACUUGCCCGGAAUCAUACAGCGAAACACUAGGAGAACAGGCAAUAGAAACAGAGCCCCGGACUGCCCAGUUACUACGAGGACCUCUGCGGCAUUCACCUUCCAGGCAAUUGCCUUCUCUCCUAUCUUACUGCUUGACCCCCACCCUCCCCUUUUAAAUCACUCUUGCUUAGUUUUUUCUUUUCAGGCAGAAUCCCCCUACACCUUUCUUCCUUCUUUUAUUCCUAUUAGACACUCAUGCAGAGGUUCUAUUCUCCACUCCACGGUCCUCAUAAUUAUCUACAAGGAAGCCAGAAUACAGAUUUAAAGCACUCAUUAGCAUGCUGAUUGGAAAUUACUCUCAACGAUUCAGAAGGCUGGCAGGGACCCCCCAGAGAUCAUCUGAUGCUGCCCCUGACUUCAAGCAUGUCUCACCUAGGCAGUUUCACACAGAUGCAACACUGUGUUUAUGGCCCCCGAUGAAAGAGUUCCUGACACCCCUGGAUAACACAACCCUGGGUUUAGUUACACAAGCUUUUCUACACAAUGGAUCAGGCACAAGACACAGAAAAAGAGCGCUGCCCCUUUUAAAGUCAGAUAGAGCGACAUGGCUAAAGUCAACCUCACUGUGUGUUUCAGUUGUACAGUUCGUUUGCUGCCAAGAGUUUAGAGCCUUAGAAAACACCUUUCGAGUUGUUAAGCAUUCUUUUGAAUAAAAUAAUACUUGCAAUUUUUUUAUUUUGAAACCAUGUAUUAGACUAUACAAAACCUUCUCAAACUUUUCAUUGAUAAAUUUUGUUUACUUUUUAUUUAUAUAUUUUCUCCUUCAAUGAGGGAUAUGUCCAAUAGAAAUAUAAGUACUUUCUGCCAAUCUCUAUCAUAUGAUGUGAAUAAGACUACCUCACACAGAGUUUUAGGAGGUAUGAUAAUUAAGGCAUGUGAGAAUAUGUGUUAUAUAGAAAAUGAGAGUGACAUCGCAGAUAGAACUAAGUUUGUUGGUAGGUAUGUGUUAAAAUAAGGAGGUUAAUCCUCAAGGAUAUGUCUCAUGCCCAGCAAUACAUGGUGAGGACAAAAUGAACUCAGUGGCAUUUCGGAGGGUUCAUUGUCUCAUAGUACUUUGUCUGGACAUUACUUUCCUUUCUUUCCCUUUUUCUUUUGUCGUGUGUGUGUGUGUGUGUGUGUGUGUGUGUGUGUGUGUGUGUGUAUACAUAUAUAUAAUGUCUUCUGAUGUUUUGUUUUUAUAGGAUUUCUAUGUGUGUGAAUGUAUGUAUCUCUACACCUAUGUGUCUUGUGUCUUGUGAGUUUGUUGUUGUUAUUGUUGUUGUUAUUUGUUUGGUUGGUUUUAUUUACCCCCUUUUGGCUAUUUUUUUCUGGUAGUUUGCUUUAUCUUAUUCUGGUACGUUUUUAUUUUAUAUGAUUAAGUUAUUAUUUUGGUUGCUUGUUUGGAUUGUAAUGAGGGGGGAAGUCGUGUGGAUUUGGAUGGGUAGGGAGGGGAAAGGAUCUGGGAGGAGUUGGGGGUGAGCAGAGCAUAAUCAGAAUACACUGUAUGAAAUAAAAAAUCUACUUCCAAUUAAAACAAAAUAUCCAAACCAUCUGAGUCUUCCUGGUGCCGUCUACACAGUGCUUACAUAUAGAAGCAGAGACGUGUCCUAGUCUGAGAGACAUCGGAAGGUGCUUCCCUGCUGAAUUUAGAGAUCUGAAGUUAGAGAUCUGAAGAGCCAAAGGAUGCAGGUAACUUUGUAACUGACAGAAGUGAAGAUGUUUGAAAGAAGCACUUGUUUCUCUGAAUCUAUCAGAUUUCUAGUAAAACCAUAGACCACAGAGAAAUGCGUCACGUGGAGACAAUCGCAUGGAGGGAAGAAAACACCUCAGCCAGAGGGAGACCUUUCUCUAGGGGGAUAUAUUUCAGAAUUUUAAUAACUUGUCAGACUUCCUUAAGAAAGAGACUGAAGUCCAGUGACUGGAACCACACGUUGAUGGACACUGUCUAGAUCUGCAUAUCCUUGGUUCUCUAUUUAAACUUUAGGGCCCCAAAGACCAACUUGGGUUCUCUAUAUCUUUUUCUCCCUCUCCCUCAUAAAUUUUGCUUUGCAGUUCUA